AACGAACGCUGGCGGCAGGCUUAACACAUGCAAGUCGAGCGCCCCGCAAGGGGAGCGGCAGACGGGUGAGUAACGCGUGGGAAUCUACCCAUCUCUACGGAAUAACUCAGGGAAACUUGUGCUAAUACCGUAUACGCCCUUUUGGGGAAAGAUUUAUCGGAGAUGGAUGAGCCCGCGUUGGAUUAGCUAGUUGGUGGGGUAAAGGCCCACCAAGGCGACGAUCCAUAGCUGGUCUGAGAGGAUGAUCAGCCACAUUGGGACUGAGACACGGCCCAAACUCCGACGGGAGGCAGCAGUGGGGAAUAUUGGACAAUGGGCGCAAGCCUGAUCCAGCCAUGCCGCGUGAGUGAUGAAGGCCCUAGGGUUGUAAAGCUCUUUCACCGGAGAAGAUAAUGACGGUAUCCGGAGAAGAAGCCCCGGCUAACUUCGUGCCUGCCGCCGCGGUAA
rnacentral:rRNA from 1 species